GCAGUAUGGUAGCAAUGACUCUCGGCUAGUAACCGAGUGGGUUCGGGUUCGAAUCCCGUGUAAAACU